AAUCGACCUCAAAUCAGAUGGGAUUACCCGCUGAACUUAAGCAUAUCAAUAAGCGGAGGAAAAGAAACUAACAAGGAUUCCCCUAGUAACGGCGAGUGAAGAGGGAAAAGCUCAAAUUUAAAAGCUGUUGCCUUUCAGGUAACCGCAUUGUAAUCUCAAGAAAUGUUUUCG
rnacentral:rRNA from 1 species